AGAGUUUGAUCCUGGCUCAGGAUGAACGCUAGCUACAGGCUUAACACAUGCAAGUCGAGGGGCAGCGGGAUUGAAGCUUGCUUCAAUUGCCGGCGACCGGCGCACGGGUGAGUAACGCGUAUCCAACCUUCCGUACACUCAGGGAUAGCCUUUCGAAAGAAAGAUUAAUACCUGAUGGUAUGAUGAGAUUGCAUGAUAGCAUCAUUAAAGAUUUAUCGGUGUACGAUGGGGAUGCGUUCCAUUAGGUAGUAGGCGGGGUAACGGCCCACCUAGCCAACGAUGGAUAGGGGUUCUGAGAGGAAGGUCCCCCACAUUGGAACUGAGACACGGUCCAAACUCCUACGGGAGGCAGCAGUGAGGAAUAUUGGUCAAUGGACGAGAGUCUGAACCAGCCAAGUAGCGUGAAGGAUGAAGGUCCUACGGAUUGUAAACUUCUUUUAUAAGGGAAUAAACCCUCCCACGUGUGGGAGCUUGUAUGUACCUUAUGAAUAAGCAUCGGCUAACUCCGUGCCAGCAGCCGCGGUAAUACGGAGGAUGCGAGCGUUAUCCGGAUUUAUUGGGUUUAAAGGGAGCGCAGACGGGUCGUUAAGUCAGCUGUGAAAGUUUGGGGCUCAACCUUAAAAUUGCAGUUGAUACUGGCGUCCUUGAGUGCGGUUGAGGUGUGCGGAAUUCGUGGUGUAGCGGUGAAAUGCUUAGAUAUCACGAAGAACUCCGAUUGCGAAGGCAGCACACUAAUCCGUAACUGACGUUCAUGCUCGAAAGCGUGGGUAUCAAACAGGAUUAGAUACCCUGGUAGUCCACACGGUAAACGAUGGAUACUCGCUGUUGGCGAUAUACUGUCAGCGGCUUAGCGAAAGC
rnacentral:rRNA from 1 species